AAAGAUUAAGCCAUGCAUGUCUAAGUAUAAGCAAUCUAUACGGUGAAACUGCGAAUGGCUCAUUAAAUCAGUUAUCGUUUAUUUGAUAGUACCUUACUACUUGGAUAACCGUGGUAAUUCUAGAGCUAAUACAUGCUAAAAACCUCGACUUCGGAAGGGGUGCAUUUAUUAGAUAAAAAACCAAUGCCCUUCGGGGCUCCUAGGUGAUUCAUAAUAACUUAACGAAUCGCAUGGCCUUGUGCCGGCGAUGGUUCAUUCAAAUUUCUGCCCUAUCAACUUUCGAUGGUAGAGUAGUGGUCUACCAUGGUUU
rnacentral:rRNA from 1 species